rnacentral:rRNA from 1 species
AGAGUUUGAUCAUGGCUCAGAUUGAACGCUGGCGGCGUGCCUAACACAUGCAAGUCGAGCGGUAACAGGUGUAGCAAUACAUGCUGACGAGCGGCGGACGGGUGAGUAACGCUUGGGAAUCUGCCUAUCAGUGGGGGACAACCCGGGGAAACUCGGGCUAAUACCGCAUACGAUCUAAGGAUGAAAGCCGGGGACCGCAAGGCCUGGCGCUGAUAGAUGAGCCCAAGUCGGAUUAGCUAGUUGGUAGGGUAACGGCCUACCAAGGCGACGAUCCGUAACUGGUCUGAGAGGACGACCAGUCACACCGGAACUGAGACACGGUCCGGACUCCUACGGGAGGCAGCAGUGGGGAAUAUUGGACAAUGGGGCAACCCUGAUCCAGCGACGCCGCGUGGGUGAAGAAGGCCUGCGGGUUGUAAAGCCCUUUCGGUGGGGAAGAAAAGUCUCGGCCUAAUACGCUGGGACCUUGACGUAACCCACUAAAGAAGCACCGGCUAACUCUGUGCCAGCAGCCGCGGUAAUACAGAGGGUGCGAGCGUUAAUCGGAAUUACUGGGCGUAAAGCGCGCGUAGGCGGCUUUUCAAGUCGAUUGUGAAAUCCCCGGGCUUAACCUGGGAACUGCAGUCGAGACUGUCUAGCUAGAGUAUGGGAGAGGGAAGUGGAAUUUCAGGUGUAGCGGUGAAAUGCGUAGAUAUCUGAAGGAACAUCAGUGGCGAAAGCGACUUCCUGGACCAAUACUGACGCUCAUGUGCGAAAGCGUGGGGAGCAAACAGGAUUAGAUACCCUAGUAGUCC